AUUGAACGCUGGCGGCAGGCCUAACACAUGCAAGUCGAGCGGAUGAAGAGAGCUUGCUCUCUGAUUUAGCGGCGGACGGGUGAGUAAUGCCUAGGAAUCUGCCUGGUAGUGGGGGAUAACGUUCCGAAAGGAACGCUAAUACCGCGUACGUCCUACGGGAGAAAGCAGGGGACCUUCGGGCCUUGCGCUAUCAGAUGAGCCUGGGUCGGAUUAGCUAGUUGGUGAGGUAAUGGCUCACCAAGGCGACGAUCCGUAACUGGUCUGAGAGGAUGAUCAGUCACACUGGAACUGAGACACGGCCCAGACUCCUACGGGAGGCAGCAGUGGGGAAUAUUGGACAAUGGGCGAAAGCCUGAUCCAGCCAUGCCGCGUGUGUGAAGAAGGUCUUCGGAUUGUAAAGCACUUUAAGUUGGGAGGAAGGGCGUUUGGCUAAUAUCCAGGCGUUUUGACGUUACCAACAGAAUAAGCACCGGCUAACUUCGUGCCAGCCGCCGCAGUAAUAC
rnacentral:rRNA from 1 species